GAGGAAGGGAAAGAGGGAGAUGUGGAGACUUUACCCCUGCUAGAGGAAGAGGAAGGAGACGUAGGAGGAAGCGGCCGCGUCAGGGGGCUCCUGGAAAAUGGAAAAGCCUGCGUCCACUAUUAAGGCGUCAAAUUAAGGCACUGAGCCUGAGUGGAAGAGAUCCAGCCAUGAAAUCCCCUUCCAAGAUUUUCCUCGUGAGCCCCGCCCUGGAUUCCCAGCAAGACUCAAAACUUACAAGGUGUCAGAGCUGGCAAAGACCAACUUCCAACCCGUCCGCUUGGCACGUGAGGAGACUGAAGCUCUCGGAAGAGAAAUGACUUGUACAGGGUCGUCACUCAACAGAUCGAGGAGCAGGCCCAGGCGCUCUGCCUCCCACUUGGGUUGCCGCCUCCAGGAAGGGCCCUGGCUUCCUUUUAGCCCUGAGCCUUGAAGCAGGUUAGAUGUCCACAGGCUGCGCGGACCACCCAGUGAUUUCUACUGCUCUUGGCCCAGAGCCAGUUCCUGGAAGGUCCUGGUUGACAGUGAGCCCUGAAUAUCAAUGACAAUCAGUUGCUCCAGGGCAACUUCCUCUGUCCUGUGCUCAAAUAUAUGAAUCCCUGGAGUUUAACGUUUACUUCUGAGCCCCGCCCAGAAAGUUUGCUCUGUGCUUAUAGCUUCAAAAAAGUCUGCGAACGGGAUGAACUGGUUUGAAUACAGACAAGCCUGUUAUUGGAAAGUUUGAGUUGGAUUUUUUUUCCCCCUCUGACAUCUGUAAGGGUGAACGACGAUGAGAACCACCACUUACUGUGCUAGGGGAUUAUGACGUGCAGCAGCCAUUGCCUGGAAAGCACUCCAUGCCCUGGGACGUCCUUUCCUUGUACUUCUCUCCUAUUAAUAUCUAAAAUAAUCCCUCACGUUAGCAUAUAAUGAAAGCAGUCUCUCACCCGGCUAUUGCAUCUUCAGAUCACAGGAUCGGAUUGUCUGAAUGUAUUUUGGUGCAUCCCAACUCAGCCACCUGUACCAAUCUAACGGCUUUUGACCUCAGAACAAGGGAAAAGAGAACAUCAUCCUGGAGCUACAAAGGGAUAACAACCUUCUAGAAAAGAUUUGCUGGAGGAACCAGAAGAAAAUAAUAAAGAAUGUUUUGGCG